UACGAAGGGUGCAAGCGUUAAUCGGAAUUACUGGGCGUAAAGGGUGCGUAGGCGGUUCGUUAAGUCUGUCGUGAAAUCCCCGGGCUCAACCUGGGAAUGGCGAUGGAUACUGGGCAGCUAGAGUGUGUCAGAGGAUGGUGGAAUUCCCGGUGUAGCGGUGAAAUGCGUAGAGAUCGGGAGGAACAUCAGUGGCGAAGGCGGCCAUCUGGGCCAUUACUGACGCUGAGGAGCGAAAGCGUGGGGAGCGAACAGG
rnacentral:rRNA from 1 species